rnacentral:rRNA from 1 species
GACGAACGCUGGCGGCGUGCCUAAUACAUGCAAGUCGAACGCUUCUUUCCCUCUGAGUGCUUGCACUCAACUGGAAAGAGGAGUGGCGGACGGGAGAGUACCACGUAGGUAACCUACCCAUCAGAGGGGGAUAACACUUGGCAACAGGUGCUAAUAGCGCCUAACAGUUUAUGCCGCAUGGCAUAAGAGUGAAGGGCGAUUUCGGGUGUCGCUGCUGGUUGGUCGCGCGGUGCAUUAGCUAGUUGGUGAGGUAACGGCUCACCGAGGCGGCGAUGCAUCACCGACCUGAUAGGGUGAACGGCCACACUGAGAGUGAGACACGGCCCUGAGUCCUACGGGAGGCAGCGGUAGGGAAUCGUCGGCGAUGGAGGAAAGACUGACCGAGCAACGCCACGUGGGUGAAGAAGGGUUGCGGAUCGUAAAACGCUCUUGUUGUUGAAGAACGAGGACAGCAGGAGCUGAGCGUCUCGUGACGGUAUCUAAACAAAAAGCCCCGGCUAACUACGUG